UUCUGGGCCAUGACUGACGCUGAGGCGCGAAAGCUAGGGGAGCGAACAGGAUUAGAUACCCUGGUAGUCACGCUGUAAACGAUGAGUACUAGGUGUCGGGGGUUACCCCCCUCGGUGCCGCAGCUAACGCAUUAAGUACUCCGCCUGGGGAGUACGCACGCAAGUGUGAAACUCAAAGGAAUUGACGGGGACCCGCACAAGUAGCGGAGCAUGUGGUUUAAUUCGAAGCAACGCGAAGAACCUUACCUAAGCUUGACAUCCCUCGGACAGGUGUUUAAUCACACCCUUCCUUCGGGACUGAGGUGACAGGUGGUGCAUGGUUGUCGUCAGCUCGUGUCGUGAGAUGUUGGGUUAAGUCCCGCAACGAGCGCAACCCUUGUCUUUAGUUGCCAGCAUUUAGUUGGGCACUCUAGAGAGACUGCCAGGGAUAACCUGGAGGAAGGUGGGGAUGACGUCAAAUCAUCAUGCCCCUUAUGCUUAGGGAUACACACGUGCUACAAUGGGUGGUACAGAGGGUUGCCAAACCGUGAGGUGGAGCCAAUCCCUUAAAGCCAUUCUCAGUUCGGAUUGUAGGCUGAAACUCGCCUACAUGAAGCUGGAGUUACUAGUAAUCGCAGAUCAGAAUGCUGCGGUGAAUGCGUUCCCGGGUCUUGUACACACCGCCCGUCACACCACGGGAGUCGGAAACACCCGAAGCCGAUUAUCCAACCGCAAGGAGGAAGUCGUCGAAGGUGGCGUCGAUAACUGGGGUG
rnacentral:rRNA from 1 species